ensembl:lncRNA
AGAGUGAUCGGAUGUUAAUUGGCCCCAGGAAGGAGCUGGGCAAAUUUCAGGGGUAAAUAGCCAGCCUGCAUUUCCCACAACUGAGAAACGGUGUUGAUAUUUAAACACGGGCUGCUGUGCGCUUCCGCACACGGGUUUACCAGAGCUUUCAACCUUGACCUGAAGGGAACACCUCCUCUGGAAGUGACAGGUGGGCUCCCUGGUGACCUGCUUCUAACACACAGAAUACAGCCAAAGGGAUGGAGGGUCACUUCUGCCUUCGGUGAGACAAGACUGCAGUUUCUCUCUUGCUGGACUCUUGCUCUACAGAGGAAGAACAUCCAAAGUUGUAAAAUGUAAUAUAUAUGGGAUUAUUUUAAAAAUGCCAAGUGCUGCC